AGACAUUAAAAACUUACCUUUUUCCUUCUUUUUACCUGUCGUCAGUGCAGCGCCAGCAGGCGGACAAUUUAAUAACUACGUUUAACCCAAAUUUUUUUUUUAUCCCCACUUUUUUUCUUAACCAAAACAGACUUUCUUUCAAUCAAAAUAUGAUAAGUCAGAAAAGUUUUAUCACUAGAGGUUUUGCAAAUUUUCGGCAUGGUCAAACCUGUGGUUCAUUCGUGUUCUGAUUUCUGACAAGAAUUACCACAUACCCACAAUCUGUCAUUACUAUUCGGCUGUUAGACUUUUCUUGUUUUUAAGAAUUGCUUGAAACAAAAACGUGCGUGUGACUGUUUGGGCAAGUAAUGUACACUUGAUAACGAAAUAUGCCAGAAAUCGAACCGGAACUGCCCCUUCUUAUACGACACGGGGUAUCUUCAAAAAGAUUAGAAGAACUUGAGCAAUGGCUGACGUGCUUCUGCAUUCGGAUUCAAAAUUUUUAAGAGGAUCAAUUUUUUUUCGUCGAAAAUCAUCCCCAAACGCAAUGUUUGGAAACUCGGAACGUGUUGUUUCGUCCGUGGAAAAACAUUAAGAGAUCCAAGAAUAUAUUCUUCUAAAGCUCAUUGAAAUUUCAGUCGACGGAUAAUUAGUGUUGUUGUUUUCAGGCAGAAACAAAAAAUAUGUUGGCCUUGGCUUGGUGUGGAUCAUUGGUACUUGUGUACAUUUGUGGUUAUUAUGGUUUCAACUGACUAAUUUUUUUUUUGUGUGAGAAGAGGAAUGUCAAUGCACGGGCUGAAUGAAAUUUCUUUUGUUUGUGUAGUCCAACGUCAUCUUUCAACGGAAUCUCGAACUAUUUGUUUUGUUAUUUGGGGGGCCUGCCGAUUGCUGAAUUGCAUAUAAGGAUGGCGGGUGUAUGAAAUUAGUUGACCUUGCGCAAGUUGUUAAAAAAUGCAAAUAAAUUACCUGCAUGUUUCCCAGGCAUUUUUCUUGGGAAUAAAAUGCGUGACACGAACUAGUAAUCAGCGGGAGAACGCAAACCUAACAAUAGCCAACAUUACUUUUCAUUCUCUGCAGGUGUUUGAAAGGAGAGAAAAAACCCGAUAGGAAUGUUUAAGAUGAAAGACGUGACAAGCGUGAUUUCUGACUCAUCAAGUUGGUUCAUCAAUAAUAGACGAAGUGCAAUGUAUGUCUAUUUUGGGUUCUGUUUUGGCGAACGCGGUUGAGUAAGAUUUCCAAUUACAAAACGCUUCUAAAACUGCAGGCCUAUUUUACUUCUUAUUUAUAGCCGAUUGUUUUCAAACUUCUAAACUUUUAUUCUUUUCAGCACCCACAUAGAGAGUUGUGAACUUGGCAACAACAGAUUGGCGACAAGCCAGCAAUACAUUAAAGGGCAAGGGCAUAAAUAUUACCAAAUACUGUAAGAGAAGUCCAAUUAUGGAAAUUUCUCACCAAACAA